CAAUAUUUUUAUUAUUUGUUGGUUUGAAAAAUUAAAUUGUUUCCUUGAAAGAAAUGAUAUAGUUGAAAUACUUCUAAGGAAUAGAGUGCAGGUCGGCACCAUUUGCGUUUUCGCAAGAACCGUAAACUAAUCACGAGUGGAAUAAGAAUUAAAAAUGUGUUUUGUGUUUUUCAAGGAAAUGACGAAGAGGUUUACAGUUUCUUUUUGAUUAUACGUGGAUUGAAGUUUUUCAGUGUUUUCACAGACAUGGAGGAAUUUCUUAAUAACUUGGGAUUAAAUGACCUGAUUGGCAUUUUUAAAGACAGAAAAUGAUGUAACCUUAUUAGACAUAGCUAAAAGGCUCACUGAUGAAGAAAUGAAAGAAAUGACUUCCCCAAUUGGCAAAAGAAAAAUAUUCAAUCAAGGAAGCAAUUGAUGGAAUAAAUUAAGAAUCAUAUAUAACAGAGGUAUGUCUUUCAUUCAUAACUUUAAUAAUAAAUAUGUAUACCAUUACAAUUAAAAACAUAUUCAUUUUUCUCAAAUAACUAUAUAUUUUUGCGAUUUGCUGUAGAUACUUAUUAUUAUUCAGGUCUAUACCUAAGUAAUUAAAUGCUAGAAUUCUUAAAUUUAAUAGAUUUGAAGGCCUGAAAGUUAUGA